AACUGUGAUUUUGACGUGUGUGAAGACACCUAGUGACACAUUCAGAGGUAGAAAAAAUAGAAGCAAAUAACUCGCUUUACUCUACCUCUGAAUGUGUCACUAGGUGUCUUCACACACGUCAAAAUGU